rnacentral:rRNA from 1 species
AGCAGCCGCCGCGGUAAUACAGAGGGUGCAAGCGUUAAUCGGAAUUACUGGGCGUAAAGCGCGCGUAGGUGGUUUGUUAAGUUGGAUGUGAAAUCCCCGGGCUCAACCUGGGAACUGCAUCCAAAACUGGCAAGCUAGAGUAUGGUAGAGGGUGGUGGAAUUUCCUGUGUAGCGGUGAAAUGUGUAGAUAUAGGAAGGAACACCAGUGGCGAAGGCGACCACCUGGACUGAUACUGACACUGAGGUGCGAAAGCGUGGGGAGCAAACAGGAUUAGAUACCCCCGUAGUCCCUGUCUCUUAUAC